UGGGGAAUAUUGCGCAAUGGGGGAAACCCUGACGCAGCGACGCCGCGUGAGCGAUGAAGGCCUUAGGGUUGUAAAGCUCUGUUUUAAGGGACGAAUGUUACGGGGAGUAAUAUGCCCUGUAAAUGACGGUACCUUAAGAGGAAGCCCCGGCUAACUACGUGCCAGCAGCCGCGGUAAGACGUAGGGGGCGAGCGUUGUCCGGAAUUACUGGGAGUAAAGAGCACGUAGGCGGGACUUUAAGUCAGGUGUGAAAGACCGGGGCUCAACCUCGGGGUGGCACUUGAAACUGGGGUUCUUGAUGGCAGGAGAGGAAAGUAGAAGUCCUGGUGUAGCGGUGAAAUGCGUAGAAAUCAGGAGGAAUACCCGUGGCGAAGGCGACUUUCUGGACUGACCCUGACGCUGAGGGGCGAAAGCGUGGGUAGCAAACAG
rnacentral:rRNA from 1 species